rnacentral:lncRNA from 1 species
CGGGAUUCUUCCCUACAAGGAGUUCAGCAGGAGCGGAGCUGCUGUGACCCAUGCGAGCGGAAGCGGAGACCUCUGCUCCCAGCACAGCCGCCGGAAAUGCGCAAACCAUGGACCCUGGCAGAGCCCCGUGGUAUAAGCCGGGCAGGUUUCUGUCGACCUUCCACAAAGGAGACAGCCAGCGCAUCUCUGCCUGCUCCGUGGCUUGGACCCAGAACCCGCAGACGCAGCUCUGCUGCGAGAAAGGAGUUCUCCUGCGGCCUGAGUCGGAGGCCCUGGUGCCGAGAGCAGUUUUAUUCCCCCUUCCUGUCUCCCCACGAGUGCCUCUCCUUCCCGGUUUGCCCAGCACGAAGGACCUUGUGGCACUCACUCUGCGCCCGCUGUGUUCCGCGUCUCCAGAGAGCCCUCUUGGGGCUGGUUCCAGCGUGCUCUAAGACGCUGGGGAGGGGGAGCUUUCUCCGCACGCCUGGACGGGCAGUGUGUCCGCCGGCCCCUGCACUCUGGGGCUUGAAGGUAGCUGAGCAGUCGCACGACCUCCAGACAUUCCUGCUAAGGCGGGCGUCCACCGAAGGGGCUUCACCCUCUCUGUCCAGAGCACAUUCCACCCCGGGAACUCCAAGAGAGAGCACACAGCGCCCUUGCCCGCCACCAGCCUGCCCCGCACAACGCCAUCCCCCAGCUCCAGGCGUCUCCACUGGGGCUGCGCACACGCCCCGAACACUUGUCCGGAGCACUUGUUCUUGUGACAGCCUCCAGAACUCCCCAGGUGACCGCGAUCCGGGUAAAGGUCCCCAAGUCCUCAGUGUUGAUGUGCUGAGUGCUGUGGGUCCCUGCGUCUUAGUGCAGGCUCCUCCACAUGCCGGCUCCCCUCGGCAGCCUCCACCUCCCAGCAGAGCCUUGCUCUUGAGGGUGCGCUGCUCCCAGACGUGGCCCAGAGUCAGGCACCUCCACACCUCCUCCCUUCCCCGGUACCCUCCAGGGAAACCAAAGAGCAAUCCUCCCUCCCCCCGGCCCUCUUUCCUCCCCCCCACCUUCCUCUCAAGGGCAAACAGAAACACAGAACGACAUUGCACUCUCUGGUUCCCUCCCCAAAUGCCCACAGUGGCCAGGCUGGGUCAGGCCAAUGCCAGGAGCCUGGAAGUCCCUCUGGGACUCCCAUAA